GCUCUGGUGGCCUAGUAGUUAGAGCUUCUGCCUAGGAUCCAGGGGAUCGUGGGUUCGAUCCCCGGUCGAGUAAAACA